AGUGAACGCUGGCGGUAGGCCUAACACAUGCCAGUCGAACGGCAGCACAGUAAGAGCUUGCUCUUACGGGUGGCGAGUGGCGGACGGGUGAGGAAUACAUCGGAAUCUACUUUUUCGUGGGGGAUAACGUAGGGAAACUUACGCUAAUACCGCAUACGACCUACGGGUGAAAGCAGGGGAUCUUCGGACCUUUCGCGAUUGAAUGAGCCGAUGUCGGAUUAGCUAGUUGGCGGGGUAAAGGCCCACCAAGGCGACGAUCCGUAGCUGGUCUGAGAGGAUGAUCAGCCACACUGGAACUGAGACACGGUCCAGACUCCUACGGGAGGCAGCAGUGGGGAAUAUUGGGCAAUGGGCGCAAGCCUGAUCCAGCCAUACCGCGUGGGUGAAGAAGGCCUUCGGGUUGUAAAGCCCUUUUGUUGGGAAAGAAAAGCAGCAGGUUAAUACCCCGCUGUUCUGACGGUACCCAAAGAAUAGGCACCGGCUAACUUCGUG
rnacentral:rRNA from 1 species